AGCCGUUACAGGCGCGCAAUGAAUCUUGGGAUAACCUCGACUGUUUGGGAUGCAUUCGCCCGCCGUCGUGUCUUCUAUUCCGGGCUGAAUGGAGAAGGUCAUCAGAGGGCGAGACUAACUAUCCUGUUCAGUGUCAGCCUAAGAGUGUAGAUACAUAGAUUAGCCAUGUGCCACUGCUGUGGAUGUCAAUACUGCAAAACUCCCCGGCACCCCCUGCUUGAUUGUUCAAGGUGACCUAAUGAAGCCCUCUGGAUGGCUUAUAUCCAUCGAGGGACAUGUCGUGAUGGGCCUACACCUUUUUACACGGAGUAGCUGCUUUCUUCAGCAGCUAUUACGUAUUCGACCUUGUGUGUCCUGCUGCUGGAUCUUCGAUGCUGGAGUUCAUUCAAAGGUGCUUCCUGGGCAUCAAUCCUGAAAGAGGCUCAAAGACCAAGAAGCGGACAACAAUUAACCCUCAUGUGAGCACACUGUUGAGGACUUAUUGACUUUGAGUGGGCAUCAUAGUUUUUUUUUUUUUUCGGCUCAGUUUUGAGUAGCCUUGUUCUUUUUGUAAUUUUUCAAGACAACUUUGCACUAAGAUUUUAACAUAAUGCUUUUGCGUGUGGACUCAUUAUAAUGUUUGAGACUGAGAGGAGGGCCUGACCCCUUUACGACAUUCAUUCAUCGCUCUCUACCUUGCUCUCUUAUCUUGCCAUGAAGGCCUCAUUCCCAUCCUGUCCAUUACUGUUAUUGUGACACAGCUGGUUGAAUUUUGAGACUGGUAGUUGAAUUGCAAGUUUGCGCAAGUUCUCUGCUUUUUAAGAUGGCUUUUAUGACUAAGAAAUUGAAUUUCUUGAACUUUUGAAGUUCUUGGCAUCUGCUGUACAUUGAAAAAUAUGUAUUUGUUAAUAAAAUAUGCCAUUGGGCUAACAUUGA